rnacentral:rRNA from 1 species
CUGCCUCAUACAGGGGGAUAACAGUUAGAAAUGACUGCUAAAACCGCAUAAGCGCACAUUGUCGAGUGACAGAGUGUGAAAAACUCCGGUGGUAUGAGAUGGACCCGCGUCUGAUUAGCUAGUUGGUGAGGUAACGGCCCACCAAGGCGACGAUCAGUAGCCGGCCUGAGAGGGCGACCGGCCACAUUGGGACUGAGACACGGCCCAAACUCCUACGGGAGGCAGCAGUGGGGAAUAUUGCACAAUGGGGGAAACCCUGAUGCAGCGACGCCGCGUGAGUGAAGAAGUAUUUCGGUAUGUAAAGCUCUAUCAGCAGGGAAGAAGAAAGACGGUACCUGACUAAGAAGCCCCGGCUAACUACGUGCCAGCAGCCGCGGUAAUACGUAGGGGGCAAGCGUUAUCCGGAUUUACUGGGUGUAAAGGGAGCGUAGACGGCUGUGCAAGUCUGAAGUGAAAGCCCAGGGCUCAACCCUGGGACUGCUUUGGAAACUGUGGAGCUAGAGUGCUGGAGAGGUAAGUGGAAUUCCUAGUGUAGCGGUGAAAUGCGUAGAUAUUAGGAGGAACACCAGUGGCGAAGGCGGCUUACUGGACAGUAACUGACGUUGAGGCUCGAAAGCGUGGGGAGCAAACAGGAUUAGAUACCCUGGUAGUCCACGCGGUAAAC